rnacentral:rRNA from 1 species
AUUGAACGCUGGCGGCAGGCCUAACACAUGCAAGUCGAGCGGAUGAAGGGAGCUUGCUCCUGGAUUCAGCGGCGGACGGGUGAGUAAUGCCUAGGAAUCUGCCUGGUAGUGGGGGAUAACGUCCGGAAACGGGCGCUAAUACCGCAUACGUCCUGAGGGAGAAAGUGGGGGAUCUUCGGACCUCACGCUAUCAGAUGAGCCUAGGUCGGAUUAGCUAGUUGGUGGGGUAAAGGCCUACCAAGGCGACGAUCCGUAACUGGUCUGAGAGGAUGAUCAGUCAAACUGGAACUGAGACACGGUCCAGACUCCUACGGGAGGCAGCAGUGGGGAAUAUUGGACAAUGGGCGAAAGCCUGGUCCAACCAUGCCGCGUGUGUGAAGAAGGUCUUCGGAUUGUAAAGCACUUUAAGUUGGGAGGAAGGGCAGUAAGUUAAUACCUUGCUGUUUUGACGUUACCAACAGAAUAAGCACCGGCUAACUUCGUG